CCCAAAAAUUCAUUACAGUUUCCUCAAGGACGACUUUCCAUGUAUUGAUUCACAUCCUUGAGGUCAAGAAUGAAUUAAUGGAUGAGGGUAUGUACCGAUCCGGUUCAAUAGAAUUAAUUAGGCAAAUAAAGGAAUGUCGGCAGUGGGAAUGGAAGUCGAGUUGCGGAAUAAUAAUGGAGUCCACAUUAAAUGGCUAAAAUCAUGAGUCAUUAAUGUGGUCAGCAACAGUAGUUAUAUAACGACAUAGAAGGGAGGAAUCACAUAGCGAUAAUCCUGAGUCGAGACUCACAAUGGAUGCCCAUUUAUUUUAGUUAUCAUAGAGUAGUUCAGUUUUCAAUUUCUUGUAGUCAAUAUCUUGUUUUCCUAUUGAAUAAAAUCAGAAAAUUGUCCCAAAAACACGAGUUUCUACUCUUAUUUGUGAUCUACAGUCAGGUCUUAGUGAGGUCCUGACAAUUUCCUUAGUAGCGGUGUCUUCUUGUUGUUGUGUAGUUGUUUCUUAUAUUAGCUGCUCAAUGACUUAUAGAUGUUUUCUUCCUCUUCUCAUUGAAUAGAGUUGCUUGUUUCUUUCAUAAAUUGUAUUGUUUUCUUGUUUUAUUCAAGGUACUCUUCUUCUUCUUCCUCUUUUCCAACAUUCAAUAGGUUUAAAGUUUCGUAAUCUGCUUUGUUUUCUUAUGUACAAUCAAUAAAGAUUAUUGGGUUGAGCUUUCUUGUAGUUGAUUCGAUUUUGUGAAGUGACUUAUGAGACUGUAAGAAAGAGAAAUAAGGGUGUGUGAUAUUUCUUGCUUCGUCAUAUCUAACGACGGAGGAUCAUGGUGAUCCUGGAAAGAAAUAAUUCCUCUAUUUGUUAUUAGAAUUUAAUCUUAUAUGAAAUCAAUGACUAUCUUAGAUGAAAAUAUUGAUCUUUUUGAUGAUUUUUCGUGUAAAUUAUCAUAUAGUAGGAGUUAGGAUUUGAGUCACCUCAUAUUCACAGUUAACUUUCCACCAUCUCGUUCUGGGCACAAAAGGUUAAGUAGGCUGCUUUGACAUAGUUUAAAAAAUCACCUUUUUGCCCCCCAUGUUAAUCUAUUUGAAGUCUCAUCAUUGUCUAUGUGCAAUUGUGGGGUUCAAGUACUGCCUAUUAAUUUUAAGUUAAUUUAUAAUAAUUCCUAGUGCUAUUUAUCCUUAGAUCUUAAUAACAAGUUGUUUGCAUCAUAGCAUUUUUGUUAUUUUUAUGGUCUUGAAGGUAGGGGUAUACCCACAUGGGUUUCAAGGGGAUCAACUGAAUUCCCUCGAACAAAAAUUACACCGUAUAUAGUAGGGGCGGACCCACGUGUCGUCCAGGGUGUUUACCCGAACACCCUCGAUAAAUACAUUGUAUACCUAAGGUGAAUUUUUUGGAUUGUGUUGAUAUAUAUAUUUUGAACACACUGAAUCACAAAUGGAUGAGAUAGACCAGCGGUAGCUGAGCUCAAAGUUACGCGCGAUGUCUAGGAUUUGAGUCCCUAGGUUGGCGUUUUAUUUUUUACAUUUUUUGGUUUCAAUUUUUUUAGUCAAAUGUUUAUAAUUUUAUUUUCCGAACCUCCUCAAAGAAAAUUCUAGGUCCGCUACUGCUAUAUAUAUAGGGUAAAUUUUUAUUAUUUAUGUGGAUAUAUGUAUUUUGAAUCCAUUAAUGACAACAAGAAAUUGAUAGUCAAAUGGCAGAUCUCUUGAAAGUAAGUUUCAUGCUGAGGGUCCAAAUUCCUCUAUUAGCGUUCUAUUUUUUUCUUCUUACUUUUCAGUCUUUUCACUUUUUUUUUUAGUUUUUUAUUUUGUAAAACGUCUUUUUUGUUUUAAACUAAAUAAUGAAGAGGUCCUCCACUAAAACUAUAUACAACUACUUCCUUGAAAUUUUGUUUUAUUAAAUUAUUUACAUAUUUAUACUUUUAUUUUUCGAACCCCCAAAAUGAAAAUCCUUGAUCCAGCACUACUUGAAGGUUAUGACACCUAGUACGCAAUGAAUGCAACUUAUAAAUAACUGACUCGAUGCAAUCUACUUAGUUGGCGUGGAGAAGUUUUGGAUUAUGCCUUCAAAAAAUAGGAGAAGAAUAUGAAAUACGAUGUUCAUUUGUCAAAUAUUACAAUACAACUUUAAGAACUCGUCAAAUAGUUGAGACACAUUUUCUAGUAUAUGGAAUACUUCGUAAUUGUAGAUUUGGUAUAACCAUGGAGAACGUUUGGGUGAGCGAUUAUCAGAAUCAUAAUCAAGAGAUGAAGAUGAAGAACAAUAUGGUGAGGCAGUAGAAAAAUGUGAGAGUGAAGAUGAAGUAGAAGAGUUAUUGAGGGAUUUGUAUCUUAAUCAUGACGGAGGAAUUAUGCAUACUGAUUGUGAUGACUUACUUGAAGAGGAACCAAAUUUUGAAUUUUUUUUCUACAAGCUAUCAAAGGAUUUCGAGUUGCCAUUAUACCAAAAUUCAAAAGCUUCAAACCUUCCCUUUUUGAUAAAUUCUUCAUACUAAAAGUAUGGGUCGUUGAAGUAAUGCAUCAUUUACAAUGCCAUUGAAACUAUUGAAAGAAGAGUUACUGUGUAACA